GUGCAGCAGUCGAGAAAACUCCGCAAUGCCCGAAAGGGUGACGGGGGAUUCCAAGUGCCUACGCUUAGCGUAGGCUGUUCAGGUGCCUAAAAAGCACCUGGAGGAAGGGCUGGGUAAGACGGGGUGCCAUCUGUGGCAGCAGCCAAGAUUUGGGCUUGCUACUGCAAGGCAUAAGCCGCCGCGGUAAUACCCGCGAGCCCGAGUGGUAGUCGCUUUUAUUGGGCCUAAGGCGUCCGUAGCCGGUCUGGUAAAUGCCUGGGGUAAAUCGUGGGGCUUAACCUCACGAAUUCCGGGUAGACUGCCAGACUUGGGACCGGUUGAGGGAGAGGGUACUCCA
rnacentral:rRNA from 1 species